rnacentral:rRNA from 1 species
UACGGAGGGGGCUAGCGUUGUUCGGAAUUACUGGGCGUUAAAGCGCACGUAGGCGGCUUUGUAAGUUAGAGGUGAAAGCCCAGGGCUUAACCCUGGAAUUGCCUUUAAGACUGCAUCGCUAGAAUUGUGGAGAGGUAAGUGGAAUUCCGAGUGUAGAGGUGAAAUUCGUAGAUAUUCGGAAGAACACCAGUGCGAAGGCGACUUACUGGACACAUAUUGACGCUGAGGUGCGAAAAGCGUGGGGAGCAAACAGG